rnacentral:rRNA from 1 species
ACAUGACGACGUGAAUCAUCGAAUCUUUGAACGCACAUUGCAUCGACCAGGAAUGGCGAUAUGUUUGUUGACAGUAAGGAUUUUAAAAUUAAAUAUAUAAUAUUUUUAUAUUAUAUAUUUUAUUCCUCGAGAGAGAGGGUUUUGAGUGUUUUUAUUUCAGUAAAAUAAAUCACUUGUAAUGUAUAAUUGAGCGGUCAUCAACCGUGGUUGUAUGAUAACUUGCAUCGACAAAGUAAACCUUGUUUCAGCAUGUAUCAUCGCUCAAUAACGCAGCAUCACUAGUAGUGUAGAUGUUAUUAUUUUAUAAAUAAUAAUAUCAAAACUAUUAAAAUCUUCCUUAUGAAACAAACAAGACUACCCGCUGAACUUAAGCAUAUCAAUAAGCGGAGG